CAAAAUGAUUCAUUAUUGAAUGACAGAAAAGGAUAAAAACGUUUAUUUCAAAGAAAAAUAGCGGAAUGCCACAUACGCUUCAAUCGUAAUCGAGUCGUGAUUGGAUCGCAGUCGAAUAUGAAUCGUAUGUUGCUUAAGUAAAAUUAGGAGAAUCGGGCCCCAGGUCGGCGCCUGUGCGAUAGCGCCGUGGCGCUCUAGUUCGGAGUUCGGCUCACUUGGUCCUGAACGCUUUUACUGUACUGUAGAGUGUAGUGCAUAAACCGACUUGCCAUCAGAAGCAGAACCUCUUACAAGUACACUAUGACGGCUACUGCACCGUGCAACGCCCCUCCAGGGCAUGCUAAGACUGCCACAAAGCGCCGCAAGAAGAACAAGCAGAGGUCGAAGGAAAAUGGCAAGAGGGCCAAGUUCUACUACUUGGUCUCACGCCCGCCAUUUAUCGUCGUUGAAAAUUAAGCCAUCGACGGCACGCUGAUAUUGUCAAACCUAACCCUUGAAGAAUUUUAUUAUUAAUUAGCAUCUGAAGUUUCGGGGACUCGAACUUUUGUACGCGGGAACCGAGAACCUCUACCGGGACUGAUACGGAGUCCUAUCAGUCUUAAGCCGUUUCAACACCACCAAGAAGGAGCUUCGUAUCAUUUAUUUUGAUGAUGUUCUUCAUAGCUAGGCGCGGCUUAGGUUUGACUUUAUUCAGGAAGGGAGAUUAGGUGACGUACAUGCAGUGGUGUGGUGCUGCCUGAUGAGCCUUCGAGAGGAUCAACCUCCAAGGCGUUUGGUUGUCAUCAGGAGUUAUCGUGGACUCCUCAUCACGAAGACUAUAAUAAGAGACAACACAAAAGUCUUUGAGGGUUUAGUUGCCUUAGCCGGCUAGAUGAGAAAACAUGGGAACAGGACUAUUGUUCCGGCCGGCAAGAGAUCCUGCAUCUGAUGUCUUCUUGCCUUAUCGACUAGGAGCAAAAAUUUGAUCUGUACGACUGGGUGAAGCCGGCAGACGUUACUCCAUUUCAUGUACUUUACACCUGUUGGGUGGUAAAGGUUAGUCGUGGGUUAGAGAAUAGUUGUCAGUUGUUUAAUAUGCUGAUACCAUCUUGGUUUCAUAUUUGUGCGUCCGUUCAGCAACACGUGGUUGAACAGGGCGCUUUCAAAUGCUCAUUUAGUGGAAGUAACAUCGACAACGAACGGAGGAUAGGCCUUACAUCGGAAAGUUGAAUUCUAAGAAAGGGGAUAAGGUGUAGGUAAUUUUAUUUUAUAGGAAGUAGUGAUUAAGCUUUGGAAUAUUUAAUUUCGUCGAUGUCAGAUUAUUGUAAUGUAGAAUUUCCGAUUAUAUGCAUCGUAGACGAAAA
rnacentral:lncRNA from 1 species